AGUGAAGCAGGGAAAACCAGAGAGACUGUCAGUUUUCAAACACUAUUUGACCCAAGAUGAAUUUAUAUAGCGUAUGCAUCCUGACAUGUACUAAUAUAGGGAUGAGUUUCUACAUUUUUCAGCAUCUGACAAAGCAAAUGAUCGAUUAUUGCAUUUUGUCCAAUUACAUUCUAUGAAACAAGUUUUGUUUUUUCGAAUUGAAUAUUUUUACAUCCGUAUAUAACUAUAAACCUUUCUAUAUAUGUGUCCCAUUCUCAUUAUUUAUUUAUGCACACUAUAUCUAUUUCUGUAAUAAGUAAUAUUUCUUUCAUCUUUUCACUUGGGUAACAUUUUGGAAAAAGUUAUAUGUUUAUACGAUGGUUUAAUAAAGCGAUUGUCAUUUAUGUAAACUGAUAUUUCCAGAGCCUCUUCAUGUCAACUUGCAC